AAUAAGUGUAGUUUUGCAAUAUUCAUCUUCAACAUUUAACUGUUCGUCUUUUGUGAAAAAAUUUUAUAAUUACUAUUUUUAUUGUUAUUAGAUGAUAAAAUAUGAAUAGUACUUUAUGUGUGACUAUUUUUUAAAAAAACCAUAAACAAACGUUGGACAUGAAUUUCCACGGCUGCAUUUAUU
rnacentral:pre_miRNA from 1 species